GAUCAUGGCUCAGAUUGAACGCUGGCGGCAGGCCUAACACAUGCAAGUCGAGCGGCAUCGGGAAGGUAGCUUGCUAUCUUUGCCGGCGAGCGGCGGACGGGUGAGUAAAGUCUGGGGAUCUGCCUGAUGGAGGGGGAUAACUACUGGAAACGGUAGCUAAUACCGCAUGAUGUUACGCGACCAAAGCGGGGGACCUCCGGGCCUCGCGCCAUCAGAUGAACCCAGAUGGGAUUAGCUAGUAGGAGAGGUAAUGGCUCCCCUAGGCGACGAUCCCUAGCUGGUCUGAGAGGAUAACCAGCCACACUGGAACUGAGAGACGGUCCAGACUCCUACGGGAGGCAGCAGUGGGGAAUAUUGCACAAUGGGCGCAAGCCUGAUGCAGCCAUGCCGCGUGUGUGAAGAAGGCCU
rnacentral:rRNA from 1 species